rnacentral:rRNA from 1 species
AAACUCCUUUUUUCAGGGAGGAAGUUCUGACGUGUACCUGAAGAAUAAGCAUCGGCUAACUCCGUGCCAGCAGCCGCGGUAAGACGGAGGAUGCAAGUGUUAUCCGGAAUUAUUGGGCGUAAAGCGUCUGUAGGUGGUUUAUCAAGUCUAUUGUUAAAGGAUAAAGCUCAACUUUAAAACUGCAAUAGAUACUGUUAGGCUCGAGUACAGUCGAAGUAGAGGGAAUUUCCAGUGAAGCGGUGAAAUGCGUAGAUAUUGGAAGGAACACCAAUGGCGAAAGCACUCUACUAGGCUUUAACUGACACUGAGAGACGAAAGCUAGGGUAGCAAAUGGGAUUAGAUACCCCAGUAGUCCUAGCCGUAAACGAUGGAUACUAAACAUUGCGUGUAUCGAUCCGCGUGGUGUUAUAGCUAACGCGUUAAGUAUCC